rnacentral:rRNA from 1 species
GAUGAACGCUGGCGGCGUGCCUAAUACAUGCAAGUCGAGCGAACGGACGAGAAGCUUGCUUCUCUGAUGUUAGCGGCGGACGGGUGAGUAACACGUGGAUAACCUACCUAUAAGACUGGGAUAACUUCGGGAAACCGGAGCUAAUACCGGAUAAUAUUUUUAACCGCAUGGUUCAAAAGUGAAAGACGGUCUUGCUGUCACUUAUAGAUGUAUCCGCGCUGCAUUAGCUAGUUGGUAAGGUAACGGCUUACCAAGGCAACGAUGCAUAGCCGACCUGAGAGGGUGAUCGGCCACACUGGAACUGAGACACGGUCCAGACUCCUACGGGAGGCAGCAGUAGGGAAUCUUCCGCAAUGGGCGAAAGCCUGACGGAGCAACGCCGCGUGAGUGAUGAAGGUCUUCGGAUCGUAAAACUCUGUUAUUAGGGAAGAACAUAUGUGUAAGUAACUGUGCACAUCUUGACGGUACCUAAUCAGAAAGCCACGGCUAACUACGUG